rnacentral:rRNA from 1 species
GACGAACGCUGGCGGCGUGCUUAACACAUGCAAGUCGAACGGAAAGGCCCUGCUUUUGUGGGGUGCUCGAGUGGCGAACGGGUGAGUAACACGUGAGUAACCUGCCCUUGACUUUGGGAUAACUUCAGGAAACUGGGGCUAAUACCGGAUAGGAGCUCCUGCUGCACGGUGGGGGUUGGAAAGUUUCGGCGGUUGGGGAUGGACUCGCGGCUUAUCAGCUUGUUGGUGGGGUAGUGGCUUACAAAGGCUUUGACGGGUAGCCGGCCUGAGAGGGUGACCGGCCACAAUGGGACUAAGAUACGGCCCAGACUCCUACGGGAGGCAGCAGGGGGGAAUAUUGCACAAUGGGCGGAAGCCUGAUGCAGCAACGCCGCGUUCGUGAUGACGGCUUUCGGGUUGUAAACCGAUUUCGCCUGUGACGAAGCGUGAGUGACGGUAAUUGGUAAAGAAGCACCGGCUAACUACGUG